GACGAAUGAUGGCGGCGUGCUUAACACAUGCAAGUCGAACGGAAAGGCCCCUUUGGGGGUACUCGAGUGGCGAACGGGUGAGUAACACGUGAGUAACCUGCCCUUGACUUCGGGAUAACUUCAGGAAACUGGGGCUAAUACCGGAUAGGAAUCCUUGCUGCAUGGUGGGGGUUGGAAAGCUUCGGCGGUUUUGGAUGGACUCGCGGCGUAUCAGCUUGUUGGUGGGGUAGUGGCUUACCAAGGCUUUGACGGGUAGCCGGCCUGAGAGGGCGACCGGCCACAUUGGGACUGAGAUACGGCCCAGACUCCUACGGGAGGCAGCAGUGGGGAAUAUUGCACAAUGGGCGGAAGCCUGAUGCAGCAACGCCGCUGGCGGGAUGACGGCCUUCGGGUUGUAAACCUCUUUCAGCAGGGGCGAAGCUUGUGGUGACGGUACCUGCAGAAGAAGCACCGGCUAACUCCGUG
rnacentral:rRNA from 1 species